rnacentral:ncRNA from 2 species
UACGGAGGGGGCGAGCGUUAUUCGGAAUUAUUGGGCGUAAAGGGCGUGUAGGCGGCUUUGCAUGUCAAAGGUGAAAUCCCUCGGCUCAACCGAGGAACUGCCUUUGAAACUGCAUUGCUUGAGGCCGGGAGGGGCCAGUGGAAUUCCCAGUGUAGCGGUGAAAUGCGUAGAUAUUGGGAGGAACACCAGUGGCGAAGGCGACUGGCUGGACCGGUUCUGACGCUGAUACGCGAAAGCGUGGGGAGCAAACAGG